UAGAUCAUGGCAUUCUAUUAAGGUAAAUGAUAAUGGAUCCAUUAUUUUUGAUUAACAUUAUAGGCACCAUCCGUCUAGUGUUCUCUUUGAAUGAUAGAAUUAUCAUUCAUUAUAUAAUGACUCUAUUGAACUAUCUGAUGGUGGUCAAGUUGACCAAGCCAUCCUUGGGCCUGAUCAUUUUUUGGUUAGAAUCACUGAGUAGGUUCAUAUUAAUGGUUGGACCUAAUCGAGACUUUCAGUGGAGAUCCAUCAUCUACUAAAAUAAAAUUUGAGGCUAAAUUAAAUACUAAAAAUUAUUUGAAGAAAUAAUUGAUUGAAA
rnacentral:lncRNA from 1 species